AACGAACGCUGGCGGCAGGCUUAACACAUGCAAGUCGAGCGCCUCGCAAGAGGAGCGGCAGACGGGUGAGUAACGCGUGGGAACGUACCCUUAUCUUCGGAAUAGCUCUGGGAAACUGGAAGUAAUACCGAAUGUGCCCUUAGGGGGAAAGAUUUAUCGGAUAAGGAUCGGCCCGCGUUGGAUUAGCUAGUUGGUGGGUAAAGGCCUACCAAGGCGACGAUCCAUAGCUGGUCUGAGAGGAUGAUCAGCCACAUUGGGACUGAGACACGGCCCAAACUCCUACGGGAGGCAGCAGUGGGGAAUAUUGGACAAUGGGCGCAAGCCUGAUCCAGCCAUGCCGCGUGAGUGAUGAAGGCCUUAGGGUUGUAAAGCUCUUUCACCGGAGAAGAUAAUGACGGUAUCCGGAGAAGAAGCCCCGGCUAACUUCGUG
rnacentral:rRNA from 1 species